AUGUCAACGGCGAAGGCUGCAGGCAGUUCCAGAUGGUCUCUUUCUGGAUUUACCGCUCUCGUUACCGGUGGAACACGAGGAAUCGGGCAUGCGGUUGUUGAGGAAUUAGCGGAACUGGGUGCCACAGUCUACACCUGUUCACGAAAUGAGGCAGAGCUCAACGAACGCUUACAAGAGUGGGCGGUUAAAGGCCUUCAAGUCAAGGGUUCUGUUUGCGAUGCAUCUUCUAGGGAACAGAGAAUUCAACUCAUGGAAAAUGUCUCCGCAGCUUUCGACGGAAAGCUCAACAUUCUUAUAAACAAUGUGGGAACUAACAUUAGGAAGCCCACCACCGAUUACACUGCUGAGGAAUAUGCCCAUCUGUUCUCUACCAACUUGGAAUCUGCAUACCAUCUGUGCCA
rnacentral:misc_RNA from 1 species